UCCGGCUUAUCACCGGCAGUUUCCUUAGAGUGCCCAGCAUAACCUGGUAGCAACUAAGGACGAGGGUUGCGCUCGUUGCGGGACUUAACCCAACAUCUCACGACACGAGCUGACGACAGCCAUGCAGCACCUGUGUGGUAGCCAGCCAAACUGAAGGAAGACAUUUCUGUCGACCAAACUACCCAUGUCAAGGCCUGGUAAGGUUCUUCGCGUUGCCUCGAAUUAAACCACAUGCUCCACCGCUUGUGCGGGUCCCCGUCAAUUCCUUUGAGUUUUAAUCUUGCGACCGUACUCCCCAGGCGGAGUGCUUAAUGCGUUAGCGUCGCCACUGAGAGGUAACCCCCCCAACAGCUAGCACUCAUCGUUUACAGCGUGGACUAC
rnacentral:misc_RNA from 1 species